CAAAGAAGAACCCAAGUGGGAGCAAAAGCUGCAGCAAACAAUAGCCUGCCUGAAAUCGCACAACAGGAUCAGUACCUCUAUGAGAAUAGGAUCUGCUGGAAAACACCCUGAACGCAGGAACAACCCGAGCACCCAGAGAUGCAGCCCAGCCUUCAGCCCUCUGGUGAGGACCACCCAACUGUGUUGGGGCCAUUUCAGAUGUCCCCAUGAAGUUGAACCCUGUCUGCGUCAUCCCCUGCUCAUCCAGAGCUGACUCAGAGCUGACUCAUUGAGUGCUACCAGCACCCUGUGUUUAAUGGUAGUAAGUCUUGGUUAAAUAAGUCUGGGGGCUCAUUUCUUUUCCAUUUUCUUCUAAAGCAGCUGAACAGGGCAGUGUGCAU
ensembl:lncRNA